GGAGCGACUCCUUUCGUUAAGGAGACGGGAGUAAAGCAUGCAGUGGAAGCAGGAAUCCACCGCUCCUUCCACGGCCUGCGGAGGAAACCCACCUCCCACUGCGAUGAGCUGGUCAGCAUAGGCGCGGCACACAAUGAUUUUUCACAUUUAAACAGUACGGUGACAUUUACAAUUUAG
rnacentral:lncRNA from 1 species